rnacentral:rRNA from 1 species
CUUAACACAUGCAAGUCGAACGGAAAGGCCCUGCUUUUGUGGGGUGCUCGAGUGGCGAACGGGUGAGUAACACGUGAGUAACCUGCCCUUGACUUUGGGAUAACUUCAGGAAACUGGGGCUAAUACCGGAUAGGAGCUCCUGCUGCAUGGUGGGGGUUGGAAAGUUUCGGCGGUUGGGGAUGGACUCGCGGCUUAUCAGCUUGUUGGUGGGGUAGUGGCUUACCAAGGCUUUGACGGGUAGCCGGCCUGAGAGGGUGACCGGCCACAUUGGGACUGAGAUACGGCCCAGACUCCUACGGGAGGCAGCAGUGGGGAAUAUUGCACAAUGGGCGGAAGCCUGAUGCAGCAACGCCGCGUGCGGGAUGACGGCCUUCGGGUUGUAAACCGCUUUCGCCUGUGACGAAGCGUGAGUGACGGUAAUGGGUAAAGAAGCACCGGCUAACUACGUGCCAGCAGCCGCGGUGAUACGUAGGGUGCGAGCGUUGUCCGGAUUUAUUGGGCGUAAAGGGCUCGUAGGUGGUUGAUCGCGUCGGAAGUGUAAUCUUGGGGCUUAACCCUGAGCGUGCUUUCGAUACGGGUUGACUUGAGGAAGGUAGGGGAGAAUGGAAUUCCUGGUGGAGCGGUGGAAUGCGCAGAUAUCAGGAGGAACACCAGUGGCGAAGGCGGUUCUCUGGGCCUUUCCUGACGCUGAGGAGCGAAAGCGUGGGGAGCGAACAGGCUUAGAUACCCUGGUAGUCCACGCUGUAAACGGUGGGUACUAGGUGUGGGGUCCAUUCCACGGGUUCCGUGCCGUAGCUAACGCUUUAAGUACCCCGCCUGGGGAGUACGGCCGCAAGGCUAAAACUCAAAGGAAUUGACGGGGCCCCGCACAAGCGGCGGAGCAUGCGGAUUAAUUCGAUGCAACGCGUAGAACCUUACCUGGGUUUGACAUGGAUCGGGAGUGCUCAGAGAUGGGUGUGCCUCUUUUGGGGUCGGUUCACAGGUGGUGCAUGGCUGUCGUCAGCUCGUGUCGUGAGAUGUUGGGUUAAGUCCCGCAACGAGCGCAACCCUUGUUCACUGUUGCCAGCACGUUAUGGUGGGGACUCAGUGGAGACCGCCGGGGUCAACUCGGAGGAAGGUGGGGAUGACGUCAAGUCAUCAUGCCCCUUAUGUCCAGGGCUUCACGCAUGCUACAAUGGCUGGUACAGAGAGUGGCGAGCCUGUGAGGGUGAGCGAAUCUCGGAAAGCCGGUCUCAGUUCGGAUUGGGGUCUGCAACUCGACCUCAUGAAGUCGGAGUCGCUAGUAAUCGCAGAUCAGCAACGCUGCGGUGAAUACGUUCCCGGGGCUUGUACACACCGCCCGUCAAGUCAUGAAAGUUGGUAACACCCGAAGCCGGUGGCCUAACCGUUGUGGGGGAGCCGUCGAAGGUGGGACUGGUGAUUAGGACUAAGUCAU